UCCUAUCUGCUGGAAGCAGUUCCCUACAGGUUGAGCAUGAGCAACCCAGCAUCUCGCAGGGCAGGACAUGCAUGGGGAUCCAGGGUCAUGUCUUCAACUGCAGUCACAGUAGAUCCUGCCAUCUCUGUUCCCACAGCACACAUCCAUCCUUCGGGCCAGGCUACCCAUAGUUUGGAGGAGGCGCAGUGAACCCAAGACCUGCUUGCAUCUCUGUGAUGCAAGCAGGAAGCUCACAUCCAUGUUGCCACCUUUCCUAUACAGCUAUGGGAUGUUUCAUGAGACCAAAGUCCUAGUGUGGGUGAUCUCAGAGGACCUCAGCAUGACUGCACAGAGCAGCAAGGAGACCUUUUGGAUGGGGAGCAGAUUGCCUUCAAAGCACCAAAGAUGUCCUUCAAGAGAAGAAAUGAGCUCAGAUGUUCUGCCAGCACAAUGCCAAGGCACUUAUGGGAAUGGUUUCAGAAAAGAUCAGCCCAGUUCUUCCUCAACCUUUGCUGAGGAACUCUUAGCAAGCACUGCUGGGUCCCCCACAAAGCACUUUCUCCAGGUUUUAUGCAAUCCCGGAGCUCAGAAAAGUGACUCUUCAGGGGAAAUGUGGAUCAGUAAUUCAGGUUACUGGCUUUGCGCUCCCCUUUUGAUUUCUGCUGGAACUCAUCUGGAGAAAUAUUGCCUCACUCAGAAGAAAGAAAUUGAUGGAUAAAAGAGGAGAGGGAGUUUCUCAAGAAAGCCAGCAGCUCCGUGAUCUCAUGCAUCCCCAGAUGACAAUAGCGCUCCCAAACCAGUGGUUCUCCGUGGCUGUGCGCACAGAGGCAUGAAGCACAACCAGCUUUCCCCAGGGCUAUUCUCCUGGGCUUGCUGGCCAUUCCCUGGAAAGAGAGACCACAGGGCAGGAUGGCAAUGGAUGAAUCAGUCCUACCCUCAAGGCUGCAGAGAAACCUUUUUCUCCGGUCCACUCCCAUUUCUGUCUUACUGACUCUCCCCAAAGUCCAAAGUGUGGUCUGAGCAUUUCCCUUUUUAGAUGGAUUGCAUUUUUAUUAAUUUUACAGUAAAUCACUUCUCUAUUUCCUUUGUUUAUGCUAGGUGGAAUCGGUGAUUUCCAUGUCUGUGAUGCAUUACUUGGCACAUGAGCACAACACAUACCAUCACUUCAUCAUACCCAUUAUUGACACCCCAGCUCUAGGACAAAAAGAUGAAAAAUCCAUCUCUAUGCUGUCACUUCCCUUUUCCCUCCUGCUCUAGUUCAAAGGUACCUCUGGAAACCUCAGCCUUGAGUUCCUCCAUCCCAGCCUUCUUUAAGCAGGACGAUCCAAAAUGCCUAAGCAGCACAGCUCAGACUUGGCCCCAUAGGACCUGCUGCUCCAUGUCACAUCAUCUUCUAAAAUCAUGUAGCUAGCACUUUAUCAGGGGGAGAACAGCAGCCUGGAAAGGAGGAGGAAAGCUUCUGUGUUCAGCCCAGGGAAAUACAGCCUCCUCUCCCUGCUUUCCCCUAUGAAAGCUCCCACCUGAACACUGGGCCCCUUCCGAAAGCAAACAGCUGACCUGCAUCUUUUGAAUAUCUUGGCUUUUAUGGCUUGGAUCCCAACCUUAGCCAUGUUUCAGUGCCAUUUUCUCUUUGCUGAACAGCAGGCCUGGAAAGCUUCACCUUGCUGCAGUCAACGUGCAUCCUGCCAUGCCCAUGCAAGGCGUUUUUCUUCAAAGGACCUGGUGCCAAUCCCCAAAGGCACCCAUUGCAGGAGGCGAAGUGUCUCCAUGGAGAUCUCCCCAGUGCCCUCUCUUCAGCCCCUCCCUCUUUUAUUGUAAACAGCAUCCCUAUCUCUGCUGGAGCAGGCAGUUCUCUGCUUCCUGGUCACCUGCCUGCCCAAUGUGCCUCUCGGCCUGCUGCUGCCUGGGAGAACAGCAAUGCCACUCUCAGAGAGUAACCCACACAUUACAGAGAGCUCUUUUUAUUCUUGAGUUGCUUUCCACCCCCAUCCCAUUAUCAGAUUUGCCCGCGCUUCUGGUAGCAGCUGCAGCAUCGUGCUGCCAGGGACCAUGUGUUCAGGGGAGUUUGGAGGAAGGAGACCAGGGGCUGCAAACCCUAUUCCCUGCUCCUUCCUCCUUUUGGUGCCUAGCACAGAACUGCUAGGUAGCUGAACAUCCCUUCUGCAUACCCGCAUCCAGAGCAUGCCUUGAUCCUCCCUGAGCAAAGAGAAAAGGGUUCAGGUAUCGCCCAAAUCCCUUGGAUUUACUUGUUUUUUUUUAUGCUCCAUAUAGUCCAAAGACCUCAUCUCCUACCCAGCAUCUUCCACCCACCCUUCGUUGGGGAAACUCUGUCAUCUAUAGCAGGAUUUUUCAAAGAGAUUCAAGGAAAAAUAUGGAGGAGUAAAUGCACCCAUGUUCCUUCCUGCUCCAUCACCCUUCUCUCUAAUGCAGACAGCUGGCACCUACCCAGAACAUCGCUACAGUUCUUCUGCUCCUCUCUAUUUUGGGGCCAUAUCUUCACACCAAUGAACAUUCCAAAAUAAUUUCUCCAAUGUAUUUGGCACAAACAAGCUUUUCUCUGCAACACCACCUACUGCUCCUUGCCAGAGUGUUUUUUGUACUCAGCCCCAAGGAAACCUGCCUCUCCAUUUCUGCAGGAAUGCCUCUGGUGAGUGCCUCUCCAUGGCAGGGUUUGCUGCACCAGGCAAUGGGGUCCAUGCUGGUAAGACUACAUGCACCUAAUGCCCCAAAUGCAAUGGUCCCGCAUGCUUCCCUGAAUCACUG